rnacentral:rRNA from 1 species
GAGAUCGGGAUAACACCUAGGAAACAGAUGCUAAUACCGGAUAACAACAGAUGAUGCCUAUCAACUGUUUAAAAGAUGGUCCUGCUAUCACUCUUGGAUGGACCUGCGGUGCAUUAGCUAGUUGGUAGGGUAACGGCCUACCAAGGCGAUGAUGCAUAGCCGAGUUGAGAGACUGAUCGGCCACAUUGGGACUGAGACACGGCCCAAACUCCUACGGGAGGCAGCAGAC